GACAGAGGGUGCAAACGUUGCUCGGAAUCACUGGGCGUAAAGGGCGUGUAGGCGGGAAUGUAAGUCGGGCGUGAAAUCCCUAGGCUCAACCUAGGAACUGCACUCGAAACUGCGUUUCUUGAGUAUCGGAGAGGAAAGCGGAAUACCUGGUGUAGAGGUGAAAUUCGUAGAUAUCAGGUGGAACACCAGUGGCGAAGGCGGCUUUCUGGCCCGGGUCUGACGCUGAGGCGCGAAAGCGUGGGGAGCAAACAGG
rnacentral:rRNA from 1 species